UCUCCGCUGGUGAACCAGCGGAGGGAUCAUUACUGAGUUACCGCUCUACAACCCUUUGUGAACAUACCUAACUGUUGCUUCGGCGGGCAGAGGUCCCUCGCGGAUCUCUCCCGGCAACGCCCUCACGGGCGGAGCGCCCGCCGGAGGAUACCAAACUCUAUUUUAACGACGUUUCUUCUGAGUGGCACAAGCAAAUAAUUAAAACUUUUAACAACGGAUCUCUUGGUUCUG
rnacentral:misc_RNA from 1 species